GACGAACGCUGGCGGCGUGCUUAACACAUGCAAGUCGAACGGAAAGGCCCUGCUUUUGUGGGGUGCUCGAGUGGCGAACGGGUGAGUAACACGUGAGUAACCUGCCCUUGACUUUGGGAUAACUUCAGGAAACUGGGGCUAAUACCGGAUAGGAGCUCCUGCUGCAUGGUGGGGGUUGGAAAGUUUCGGCGGUUGGGGAUGGACUCGCGGCUUAUCAGCUUGUUGGUGGGGUAGUGGCUUACCAAGGCUUUGACGGGUAGCCGGCCUGAGAGGGUGACCGGCCACGUUGGGACUGAGAUACGGCACAGACUCCACCGGGAGGCAACAGUGGGGAAUAUUGCACUAUGGACGGAAGCCUGCUGCAGCAACGCCGCGUGCGGGAUGACGGCCUUCGGGUUGUAAACCGCUUUCGCCUGUGACGAAGCGUGAGUGACGGUAAUGGGUAAAGAAGCACCGGCUAACUACGUG
rnacentral:rRNA from 1 species